rnacentral:tRNA from 1 species
AGCUAAUUAACUUAAAAUAAAGUUUAUAUUUUGAAAAUAUAAAAUGUAAGAUUAACCUUACAUUAGCUU